GACGAACGCUGGCGGCGUGCCUAAUACAUGCAAGUCGAGCGGACCAAAGGGAGCUUGCUCCCAGAGGUUAGCGGCGGACGGGUGAGUAACACGUGGGCAACCUGCCCUGUAGACUGGGAUAACAUCGAGAAAUCGGUGCUAAUACCGGAUAAUAGAUGGAACUGCAUAGUUCCAUUUUAAAAGAUGGUUCUGCUAUCACUACAGGAUGGGCCCGCGGUGCAUUAGCUAGUUGGUAAGGUAACGGCUUACCAAGGCGACGAUGCAUAGCCGACCUGAGAGGGGGAUCGGCCACACUGGGACUGAGACACGGCCCAGACUCCUACGGGAGGCAGCAGUAGGGAAUCUUCCGCAAUGGACGAAAGUCUGACGGAGCAACGCCGCGUGAGUGAUGAAGGGUUUCGGCUCGUAAAGCUCUGUUGUUAGGGAAGAACAAGUGCCUGAGUAACUGCAGGCACCUUGACGGUACCUAACCAGAAAGCCACGGCUAACUACGUGCCAGCCGCCGCCGUAACAC
rnacentral:rRNA from 1 species